AACGCGAAGAACCUUACCCGGGCUUGAACUACUCGUGGUAGGCCGCUAGAAACAGUGGCCGACCCGCAAGGGAGCGAGCAGAGGUGCUGCAUGGUUGUCGUCAGCUCGUGUCGUGAGAUGUUGGGUUAAGUCCCGCAACGAGCGCAACCCCUACUCGAUGUUGCUAAUCCCGCAAGGGAUGCACUCUUCGAGAACUGCCUUCGAUAAGAAGGAGGAAGGUGGGGACGACGUCAAAUCCUCAUGGCCCUUAUGUCCGGGGCUACACACGUGCUACAAUGGCCGGUACAACGGGAAGCAAUACCGUAAGGUGGAGCCAAACCCUGAAAGCCGGCCCCAGUUCAGAUUGUGGGCUGCAACUCGCCCACAUGAAGGCGGAAUCGCUAGUAAUCGCGAAUCAGCAGGUCGCGGUGAAUACGUUCCCGGGCCUUGUACACACCGCUCGCGA
rnacentral:rRNA from 1 species